UGCAGUGCUGGAAAAUUCCCUUGGCUUCGCUUGGCUUGGCUUAGCCUUAAAUGACUGCUACAGUAGACUACGAGUACUGUACCAUAGAAAAGGAACUGUACUAAUGACUGUACUAUUGAUCGUUCACAGACGCAGGGCAUAUGAGGUGAACCAAUCGAUCGUCUACUAGCUUUUCCGGCGUAAAGGCGCUGCCAUUGGCCAAAUCUGCAUGGAAUUUCCACCGAAUCUCGUGGAGUUCCCAACAGAAUUGUAAAACUUAUCAUCCAGCACGUCAAAGGUGAUGAACAAAAUUCAGUUUUCGAUGAGGGAGCACCGUAGAAGCUGCGCUAUUUAGAGAACGACAUCGGAUCAGUAUUUGCAAGAACUUCGGCUAACAAUCAGACGCAGCAGGCAUGCCGAGAAAGCGUGCGGUUUCGACUUUUAGGCGUGUCUGGA